CGACUUAUUUCAUUGGAGGCAACGAGAUCUGCUAGAAUACUUUUCUGUUUCUUAUGGGGUUGGAACAAACGUGGAAUUCCUUAACUGAGCAGAGUCCACAAAACCCCAUCCAUUUGUCAUGCCGAUUUGAAAAUGCCAGCAGAUCUCCUAGGUAUUGAUCAUAAUCAAUGGACAGGUCACCGUAGCCACCCGGAUCCAGUCAGUAUCCAGAUCAGAUGGUGAAUCAGCAC